UUGACGGGGGCCCGCACAAGCGGUGGAGCAUGUGGAUUAAUUCGACGCAACGCGCAGAACCUUACCUAGCCUUGACAUGUUAGCGUACGGGUCCCAAAAGACCCCGACCUUUUGGAACGCUUUCACAGGUGCUGCAUGGCUGUCGUCAGCUCGUGUCGUGAGAUGUUGGGUUAAGUCCCGCAACGAGCGCAACCCACGUCUUUAGUUGCCAGCAUUUAGUUGGGCACUCUAGAGAGACUGCCGGUGAUAAACCGGAGGAAGGUG
rnacentral:rRNA from 1 species